rnacentral:rRNA from 1 species
GAUGAACGCUGGCGGCGUGCCUAAUACAUGCAAGUCGAGCGAACAGAUGAGGAGCUUGCUCCUCUGACGUUAGCGGCGGACGGGUGAGUAACACGUGGAUAACCUACCUAUAAGACUGGGAUAACUUCGGGAAACCGGAGCUAAUACCGGAUAAUAUAUUGAACCGCAUGGUUCAAUAGUGAAAGACGGUGUUGCUGUCACGUAUAGAUGGAUCCGCGCCGCAUUAGCUAGUUGGUAAGGUAACGGCUUACCAAGGCAACGAUGCGUAGCCGACCGGAGAGGGUGUUCGCCCACUGUGGAACUGAGCGGCGGCCCAGACUCCGACGGGAGGCAGCAGUAGGGAAUCUUCCGAAAUGGGCGAAAGCCUGACGGAGCAACGCCGCGUGAGUGAUGAAGGUCUUCGGAUCGUAAAACUCUGUUAUUAGGGAAGAACAAAUGUGUAAGUAACUAUGCACGUCUUGACGGUACCUAUUCAGAAAGCCCCGGCUAACUACGU